AUUGAACGCUGGCGGCAGGCCUAACACAUGCAAGUCGAACGAAUGGCGGACGGGUGAGUAAUGUCUGGGAACCUGCCCGAUGGAGGGGGAUAACUACUGGAAAAGUUAGCUACUACCGCAUACCAUCGGAUGUGCCCAGAUGGGAUUAGCUAGUGGGUGGGGUAACGGCUCACCUAGGCGACGAUGCCUAGCUGGUCUGAGAGGAUGACCAGCCACACUGGGACUGAGACACGGUCCAGACUCCUACGGGAGGCAGCAGUGGGGAAUAUUGCACAAUGGGCGCAAGCCUGAUGGAGCCAUGCCGCGUGUAUGAAGAAGGCCUUCGGGUUGUAAAGUACUUUUAGCGGGGAGGCGGUACCCGCAGAAGAAGCACCGGCUAACUCCGUGCCAGCAGCCGCGGUAAUAC
rnacentral:rRNA from 1 species